rnacentral:rRNA from 1 species
AGCGAACGCUGGCGGCAGGCCUAACACAUGCAAGUCGAGCGGCCGUAGCAAUACGGCAGCGGCAGACGGGAGAGUAACACGUGGGAACGCGCCCUUCGGUUCGGAAUAACUCAGGGAAACUUGAGCUAAUACCGGAUACGCCCUUACGGGGAAAGGUUUAUUGCCGAAGGAACGGCCCGCGUCCGAUUAGCUUGUUGGUGAGGUAACGGCUCACCAAGGCGACGAUCGGUAGCUGGUCUGAGAGGAUGACCAGCCUCACUGGGACUGAGACACGGCCCAGACUCCUACGGGAGGCAGCAGUGGGGAAUAUUGGACAAUGGGCGCAAGCCUGAUCCAGCCAUGCCGCGUGGGUGAUGAAGGCCCUAGGGUUGUAAAGCCCUUUCAGCGGGGAAGAUAAUGACGGUACCCGCAGAAGAAGCCCCGGCUAACUUCGUGCCAGCCGCCGCCGUAAUAC